rnacentral:lncRNA from 1 species
AAAAACUAGAUUCUAACGUAAGGUUAGAUCCGGUAAAAGGUACACAAUAGUUUCCGGUGUAGAAACUAUUGUGCGAAAAAGAAUUAACUAAGUGCUGAAAAGGAAAAUAGAAAUUGCAAGGGAAACAAUAUAAAACUCGUAAAAGCAAUGCUGUAAAAAUGUGCUUGUACUGCUGGAAAAGAAAAAAUGCGAGAAAGCGAAAACGGCGAAGAAAUCUGG